UGAGAGGUUACUGCAAUUAAUGGCCACGGCUGAUGUUUAAUCUUGCUGGGUGGAAGUCCUGUCUUCAGUUGCAGAUCGUCGGUCCCGAGGGUUCGACCACAGGGUCUCAGAUUUCUUCCACGCAGCCCCUGCGCACGUUGUGGGGCCCCUUGACUCGGUUAACGUAUAGGUUUCAGUUGUUUCCCGGAGCGUCCAAGGAAGAUGUUAGAGAAGAAAUUACCAAACUUGACCACUGAAUAUAUAGAGAAAUCAACAGGCUUCGGUCUUGUUCAUUCAUUAUUGCUUUCCACCACGAAUUUUCUUCAGAGGUCAAUGCUAUGACCUCUGGAGUUCAAAGAUAUGAAACUCUCAAACUGGUUUUUGAAAGCAAAACCGAAACAGUUUGGCUGUCUCUCUAAGCCACAGUACCUGAGGUUCAUUUGCCUAUAAAGGGCCUAAGAUGAGCCAAGCAAUGAGGAACCCAGAAGCUUGCAUUUCAUUUUGCUCAUAGUAAAUAUACGUCUGCUCUGAAUCCAGCCAUAUCUAAGGUAUAAAGGAUCAGGGACCAGAAGGAACCUGCUCUUUCACGUGGCCAACAAGCUUGAACCAGGGAUAUAAGCAGAAUAGAACCAAUAGAGAACAAUUGUCUCCUUGGGCAGCCAAGGGGGAAAGCCUAAUAUUGAAGAGGUUGUGCAGAAGCAACAGCAGAGGUAUAUCUAUCAAAUCUAGCAAUCUCUGAAGGAACCUUCAAGAUUGGACACUCAUAUCCCCCCCUUUUAAAGAGGAAUC